AGGAAACCUGUCUUGGCCAAAUGCAGUUAAAUGGGCCCCUACAGCGCCCAGCCCCUGUGCUAUUUUGUAUCUUGGAGGGCUGGCCGAGGCCUCGCUAGCACAACCUUCCAGAGAUCCUCAGGCACGCCACUGUACCGCACAUGACCUCUGAUGCUGUACUUUACCAAAUGACAAUGUUGCUUCCCGGGCUGCUGUUCGUACGGCCUCCAGGUCAGACUGGCACAGGCUGGCGAUCUGAUCGAUGCUUUCGAUCCCCUGUUUGAGGUGGGGGCAAAGAGGAACCAUUAGGGGACGUUUUAAGUAGCAGGUGGAACCUACUUUUAUAAGCUCUUGCAAGGCACCAGCCCUGGCAUGCUCUCUGGGGCCUCAGCCCCUUCCUUUUCUAAAGGCUUACAGUUUUCUUACAUGGCCUUAAAUUCAUCAGAAGUGCCAUUGGAAGUGCCUCUCCUUUUCAAUCCUGCCACCUGCUAGUGAGCCAGCCUAUCUUAAAAACAAGACCUGCUUCCCUCUGGACCUUCGUAAAUCGUCCUUUCUCUCCUAACCCUCCCCUCCUGGUCAGACUGAGAGCAUCAGUCAGCACCCAGAUGUGGGUGCAGCUGACACUCGUUGCUCUUUCCUCCAGGGCCAAGGACUAGAGUGCACUUCAGCUUCCUCUACAAGGGCACCCACCUCUACCCUCCUUUCUGGUUGUUUGAGUAUAACCAGAUGGUCCUCCUAGAAUUUCCCUUUGGUUCUUUCCAGAAUGAAUGGGAUGAGUGUAAUCUCUUUUUCAUCUAGCAAAUUGGCAGUGGUUUUUUUUUUUUUUUAAAUGAGAGUUCCAGAUGCAAGUGAGGUUGAGGCAAGGUGGACAUCCUCUCACAUCUGUUUUUGGGAGUGUAAGUGGGUGAGCUGUAUCAGGAGUCUCCAAAAGUUUCAUAUUCUCUGGCCUAGAGGCACACUUUGUAGAGGGUUCAGCCUAAGGAAAUCAUUCAGAGCUCCAUAUAUUUUGUAAAGGCUUUGUGCACAACGAUGUUUAUAAUGACACCACAAUUUAAAAAAAAAAAAAAAGGAUGAUGAACCUCAAUUUUCUACCACGAAAGUGGGGGAAUCAAUUAACUAAGCCCCUUCAUAGAGACUGCUAAAGAACUGCCAGUCUGCCUCUAAGAGUUCCUAUUUUUGCCCACUAUUUUUAAAUUGUAUUUAUUAGCAUGACUAACAAUUUUAAAUGCUCACACACACCCACAAACUAAAGAAAUAACAGCAAAACACCAACAGUAGUUUCUGCUAAGUAUCAGGAUGAUGGGUAACUGUUACGUUCCUGUAUUUUACACUUUUUUUUUUUCCUACAAUGAGCUAAUUGUGCUUUUAGAGAUUUUUAAAUUGAGGAUAAUCAAACGUAGAAUCCAAGACCUCAGAAGGUGUCCCUGGGGCUACCUGCUUAUUCAAGCAGAGCCCGAGCAAAUGCUCCUUGACAACUGUUGAGGGGCCUCUGCUGGUGGAUUUGACGUCUGCUCCUCUAAAACGAGCUCUUCGGGGACCUUUUUUUGGGGGGUGGGGGAGUCCCAGUGGAAUAAUUUUGGAAUGAAAUUUUUUUUUUUAAUUAACUUUGACAUUAACCACAAGCAGGCUUCUUUCCAUCCCCGGCGAGGAAGGUUAGACUCACCCUGAGGUGUUUGAGUGCCACACACGCGGCCUGCUGGAGUUUUGCAUCGUUCUCGGUCAGGGCGUUGGUGUAGAAGAGCAAAGCCUGGGGAAUAAGGUUGCUGUGAAUGGGGGGGCUGGGCCAGCCAAGUCCACAGUGCCCAUGGCCAGUGCUCCUGGUGCUGGCAGGAAAUCACGCCCUGCUUACCUUUCUCUAAACAAAAAUCAGGCCCUGAUCUAUUCAUCUCUGGGCCAGGUGCACCCCGUCUCAGAGUAUCUGCCGCAGUGUUUAGGUUUCCCUCUAAAAACACUGGUCCCUGGGCUGAUGCUAAUCAAAGUGAAGAAAGUUCUUUUUGUCUAUUAAUAUUUCCCAAAUCUAGAUAAAACACUGCAUCAGAGAAAUCAGAUGUCCGGCCAGGGCCAGCUGAAGAAUUGGGUGCACAGAGGGAGGUGGCCCUGGGAACACCCUUUACCAGUCACAGCAACAGCCCUGUACCCUCGGCCCCCUCAGCUGGGAGAGAGCUGGCACCGGCUUCACAGCAUUGUACAGGCUUAUUGGGAAGCACGUGAGGAUGCACUUGGCCGUGGGGUGACCCAAGAAACCAUAAUCGACACACAUUAGUUGAAAGUAAAUGAAGAUGACCACGAGAAUCCGAAAAAAGAAACAUUCUACACACAACUGACAUCUCAGACCAAACAGAUAUGUUGUGCUGGAAGCACCAGGAUGAAGGAGGUGGUAGCCGUGGAACUGGAACCAGGUGACCGUCUGUUCCUCGGGAGGCCCGGCUGCGGGGAGCAGCCCGCCGCAGCUGAGCACCUGCUCCAGGAGCCUUCUGCACGCUGGCAGACACGGGAGGAGGCCGUGAGCUCUAGAGACCGCGCCCUGGAGCCCCGAGGAGCUUCUCGGCCCGGCGCGGCUGGGUCAGGUAAAGGCUCUCGACGGGCGUGGGGGGAGCCCCGCUGGAGCCACCUCUGCCCGCCGGAGCAGGCUGCAGCGGGGGUUCUCGGGGCCCGGGGCUGGGGAACCCUCCGGCCGAGCAGCAGCCGGGCGCUGCGUGGAGCUGCACGCGUUCCAGAGCCACGGCGAGGGCGUACAGGUGUCCCCCUCGGUCGUCGGCAGAGGAAGCCGCUCUGUGUUCCGAGGGGGGGUCCGGCCUACCUUCCCCAACGUGCUGCCCGAACCCCUAUAAGCUUCUGGUGGGAGCUGCGCUGUCUGCCUGCCCAGAAGCGGCCCAGCCGGCUAACGUGGGCGGCCUCGGGGCUUCGCAGACCCUUCCUGUCCCCCCUCCGGUGCCAUGAGACAUGGGGGCACAGGCAGGGCAGAAAGCGGGGGGCGUGGGGGUACCUAUUUCCAGCUGUCCUGGGUACUUCCCGCGGACUCUGUGCAGGAACGUUUUCUUGAGCUGGUUCAGCAGCGUCGUGGCGGGGCAGGACAGCACCCUGCCGGGCUCCGUGCACCCUCUCCACAGCCUCAGGCACCCCUUCCUCCGAGCGGCCUGCGCAACGACUAGAAAGCCCGGGGCAGGACCCGACUGGAGGUGGGGGAGGCCCAAAGAGCUCCUCCCGCACUAAGGCCUGGGAGGUCGGGGGGUGAGGGGUGACAGCUUCCCCUCCCACGUCCAGGGGGCCCGCAGGACUGGCAGCUUCAGCUGUGCGUGCAUGCCCUGGGCCUCUCCCCCCCAGUCCUCACGGCAGCUGGGAAGGCCCAAAGAGCGUGUGCCGCUGACUCCAAGGCUCUGUGGCCUCCCUUGCCGGCCCCACAGUGUGUGUGUCAGGGCACAGCCCAGCCACCGCCCCAGCUCGUACCCCCCUGGGCUCCAGUUAACUUUGGACCCGAGGAAGGAAGAUGAGGCUCCCCCGGGCUUCGAAGCCCAUCACUUGAUGCCAUUCCAAGAGCAGCCCGUGGGUGCUGGGCAGUUACUUACUUUCUUCAAUGGAUGUUGCCUUGUUGGCCUUCUCAAAAUCCAACACAGAAAGCAUCUCCAGAACCUGCUUUUGCUGGGCAGCUUCUUCUAGAAGGCAUUCCUGGACCAUCCUCGACAAAUUAGGAGAGGCCAGUUUCUGGAAAGCAGCCCACGAUGCUCCAGGUUAGGGCAGAAGGUGCCCUCUGAGGUCGACAGUCACAACUGCAGCUCCCACCAGCCACCGCCCUCCCCUUGGCCCAUCCUUUCUAUGCUGAUGGUUGUUCCCUGACUGUCAUCUGGGGAUUCCCGAUUCGCCAAGGUGAGAUGCUAGGAUGCAGGCUGUGGCCCGGGGCCACCUUUGCCACCAGAAAAGGCUAGCCUGCCUAGAAGUGGAGCCAGCCAACACAGGAAAGCAGAGCUGAGAGAGAGAGACCCAGUUAUGAUGACAUUUGAAACCCCGGAUCCAGCUGGGCCUGAAGCCUGCCCCCUAAGCCUUUCAAUUCUGUGAGCCAAAAACCUCCUUCUGGUUGAGCCAGUUUGGAUUGGAGUUCUGGCAUCUGCAACUGAAAGAGUCGCAGCUUUUGGUUCAGAGCACUUGGGAUGCGUAAGAGCCACGUGACUGUUCGGAUGAAUCUCCUCAGUCUCACUGGCUCUUGGGGGGGGGUCUCUCUUCCUUUCACGAUGCUCCCCACCACCACCGUCAAGAUCAGUUCUUCUCAAAGAGGGUUGCCAACCCCCAACCUGCAACAUGGCUUCCCAGCAAACUGCCCCCCUCCCCCCCGCCACAUUCCUUAACCACCUGCAGCAGAGCUUUGCAGACUUGGAGGUGGGCCAUGAGCAACCUGUCCAGCUCCGGGGUGCCGGCCGUGAGCUCCCUGGAUGACACCUUCCGAGAUGGCGGUGGGGGCGGGGUCCUGUCCUUUCUGAGUUGGAUUAAAAAGAAGCAGGUGACUAUUCCAGUUAGCUCAGCUCCCUCCAAGAGUAGAAGAAACCCUCCCUCCUUGGAGAGAGCUGGUCAGGGAGGCCUGCUGCAGGUCCCAGGGAGACAGAGCUAUACCAAGGAGAAAACCAAGAGGAAAAGCAGCAAAAGCCAACUCAGAACAGGUGCUGGGAUGGGGGGAGUGGAGGACACCUCCCCAGGUGGCCGAUCUGAAGUCAGAAGUUCAAACUAAUCCUGAGCUCCAUCACUUUGGACAGGUCUGCCCCCCCCCCCAGCCUCAGUUUACUCAUCUGUAAAGUGGGGAGAGGAAUACCGAGCUCAGGGCAGUGACGUGUAAGUGCGACCCUGCCAGUCAGAAUGCCUGGCAUCGUGUUGGCUUCAUGGUAGGAGCUGAGCCUGAGGCCUGAGGACACUGGGACACUGGAAUGUCAGGUGGGAGAGCCACCCCCUCCCCAUGGGAUCGUGAGAGGAGGAGACAGAGUACUGUUUAUCCUCUGGCGGCUGCUGAGAUUCGGUACCAGAGCCCGGCGUGAGUGGGGCAGGCGGGGGAUGCUUAGCCAAGAAGGAAGUUGGUGUCGGAGGUGAGGUUGUGCAGAAGAAUAGGGAGCACGGCUCACUGCUGCCCGUUGGUGAGGCAAGAGUACAGAGGUCCUACCGUGGACCUUAUCAUUUUUUAAGAUAAAAACAAAAACAGCACAUUGCUCAAAGCUCAGGACCCUGCUGGGGGACUGUCCUUCACUCGGUGGCCAAUACAGGCCUGCUCUGUGCCGGGCAGUGGGCAUGCAGGGGUGAGGGGGCAGGACAGAUGGGGCCCAGGGCAGGGGAAGCCAUAGGCCAGGAGGCAACAGGAGGCAUGGACUAAGGCUGGUCCCCAGGGUCAGUGCUGGGAGGAGGGUGCACUUACCGGAGACCCUGGCAGCCCCCAAACAGGGACAGCUCCUGUGGGGCGAGGUCAGCAUUGAGGAAGGCGAAGCUCUCCAGGAUGCACUCCAUCAGGCUCUCGGCAGAGGCGUGCUCCUGGCGGGCUCCACGGGGCUGUGGACAGAGCGGGGAGACCUUAGGGCAGACAGCCCACCGGACCUUAACAGGCUCCGGCUCACAGGCAGGGUGCGAGCCUCGGCUGCCCAAGUGCAAUCACCCAAGUCCAGGCCGGGCACGGGGUGCGGCGCUCCUUGAGGUCCCUCCCAAUUAGCCUGUGACAAGGUAUGGCUCGAGAGCACAAGGGACACAGAUCUGAAGGGCCUCACCCAGCUCACAGACACCCACAGGGACAGGGCAAGAAACAGGAGUGAGCGAGUGGCCCCGGGUGGGGAGCAGGACAACGUGUGCCCUCCCCCAAGAAGCCAGGCUGCUGCUCUGCUCCAGCGGACACCUGUCACUUGAGUGUUGCUAGAUCAAUUUUUAAAAAAAGAUUUUACUUGUUCAUUAGAGAGAGAGAAAGAGAGAGAGAGAGGCGGAAACACAGGCAGAGGGAGAAGCAGGCUUCAUGCAGGAGCCUGAUGUGGGACUCGAUCCCAGGACCCCAGGAUCACACCCUGGGCCAAAGGCAGGCACUAAACCACUAAGCCACCCAGGGAUCCCCUCAAUUUUCUAAAAAAAAAAAAAAAAAAAAAGCUGGAAAUCUAGAUUUUUGUGGAAAGCUGCCAGUUUUUAAAUAUUGACAGCUAAUUCCAAAUUAUUUUUUAAAAAAUGGAAAAAUGGUAUUGAAAAAAAAAAAAGAUGGUAUGGGUCAGACCAAACAUCUCUUUAGGAGGCUCAGAGGCUGCCAGAUGAGCCUCUGGAUUUCAAGUAUUCUUUAAAAAACAAAAAAAUGUUUUGCUUAUUCAUUUGAGAGAGAGAGAGAGAGCAGGGGGAGGGGCAGAGGGAGAAGCGGACUGCUGAGCAGGGAGCCUGAUGUGGGACUCGAUCCCAGGACUCUGGGAUCAUGACUAGAGGUGAAGGCAGACACUUGGCUUCACCGACUGGGCCCCCCAGGCACCCCCAAGUGUCUUCUCCCAGGGAAAUGCAGGAGGGAGAAGACAUUGGAGGCGCCUCCUGACUGACAGGGGUGGGAGAGCGUGGUGGUGCCACGGCUCCUGCCACUGGUCAGGUCUCCUAAGGGCAGGUCCCUUCCUCGGCAUCUAGAAAUCUACUCCUGGAGAUUUUGGCCUCCUCUCCGUACAUGGCAGGACUCCAGGGCUCACCCGGUCCCCAUCCCGGCACACCCAGGCCUCAUCCCAAACAAAGUGCACGCAGGGCACCACCUGAGCAGACACUGCCUCGAAAGCCAGAACUAGGCUCCCAAGAGUCGAGCCCACUCAAGAAAGGUUUGAGUUGGGGCGUCUGGGUGGCUCAGUGGUUGAGUGUCUGCCUUUGGCUCUGGUCGGGAUCCCGGGGUCCUGGGAUCGAGUCCCGCAUCAGGUUCCCUGCAUGGAGGCUGCUUCUCCCUCUGCCUGUGUCUCUGCCUCUCUCUGUGUCUUAUGAAUAAAUAAAACUUUAAAAAUCUUAAAAAAAAAAAAAAAAGGAAGUCUUGAGUUACAAGAAAAUAACAAGGCCAGUUACGCCUUGCCUGAUAGAAAAAAAAAAAAAAAGUGUGUCUGCAUAUAUCUGCACAUACACACGCACACACGGAGGUGGUUCCUCAUUAUUCGAGAUGUGCCAAACCGUCACUCCCAGAAGUGCAGAGAUUGAGCCCCUGGUCACGACAUUUUCAUCAACCCAUCAACACAGAAGCUUGUUUUAUGUGUUUCUGUUUGAAGACACUUUACUGAAUUUACACGGAUGAUUCACUGGCACUGACCUCAGGCCCCCACAGCACUGUCACCCGCGCUGAACCACGCUGAGCUCACACAUGCGUCCUCUCCGUGAGGCCCAGCACAGCCUCCCUGCACUCGGGAGCACUAGACUGCACUUCAACACGGCAGCUGGGCCCAUUUUAAACCCUGAAAUGCCCCCACAUAAUUUUUAAAGAGAGCCAGGAAACUAUUUCAGUGCCAGCGUGUCCUACACAAAGACGGUAGUUUCAUAAAUCAGAUGAUGUGAAGUAGGUACUGGCGUUACACAUUUUAUCAUCCAUGCAUUUGAAGUUGCGUAAUCAGGAAAAAUCCAAUAAUCCGCCCGGGCCAGCACCCGAGGACGGCCCUUGCCACAGGCCCUGCGAGGAGCAGGUUCAGGGAAGGGUGUGCAGCUGCGCGGGGUCUUCUGCGGCCCCGGCUCUGACCCUGAACACACCCCAGAUUUGGGAACCGAACAGCCCCACCUGCCCGGGGUCAGAAGAUGUCUGAUGGGCCCAGGUUCUUGGCCAGACGUGGAGCAGGUUAUCUGCCCCGAUGCCCGACUUCCUCUUAUUAUCCUCCUCCCAGCCAGUGAGGGCGACUGUUCUCCCCACUGGACAGAUGAGCAGACUGAGGCCCAGAGGGGAGAGGCGCAGCUGGGUCACACGGGGGUGAGGCCAGGGUGCCGGCCCAGGCUGGCUGCCCCCAGGGACCACUGCCACUCGUUAGGCACUAGUAGAGCAGGGCUGCCGCCCCUCGAUAAUAAACCUACCUUCAGCCGGUCCCUAAAGCCGAGAACCUGGAACUCCAGCUCCCGCAGCUGGGGCUGGGUGGGGUCCACGGACCUCAGUAAAUCCAGGACCUCUUGCAGGGGCCUCUCGAGGGCCACCCCAGGCCCAUCCACUCCGUCCUCGGUUUCUCCUUCAUCGUGGUCUGUCUGGCUGCCCGGAUCUGUGUGGUUGUGGAAAGGGGAACCCCGUGGCGGGCUGGGGCCCUCUAUUCCCAAAUUCCUCCAGCCAGGCUGCUCCACAAAUGGGCCUCCCGCCUGGUGGGCCAUCUCCGGCAGGAGGCCCAGGGGUCGGGGGUCCUCCUGGGCCUCCUCUUCAAUGGAGGUGUUGGGGCCGAUGGCCAGGGGCAGGAAGCCCACGUCCGAGGUGGAUGCUGAUGUGCUGGUCUCGGCAUCUCGGGGGUCCUCGGAGCUGAAGGAGUCCAUCUCAGGCAGCUCCUGACUCUGGCUCCGCAGGCCAGGGCCCCGAAGGUCCCUGUCAGACAGGUAGCUGAGGAUGGAGGUGGCCCUCGGCCCACCCAGCAGCAAAGCCUGCGGUGCUGGCUGCUGCAGGACAGACUGGGGAGGGGGACACAGGACCAGCCUUACUGCCACACCAGGGACUGGGGCAAGGCCCCCAGCGGGGCUGCCCUCCCCAAACGCUUGCGCCAAAUACCCACACUGUCCCCACGAGUGAUUGGCGCCUGGAGGUGCAGAUGGGCCCCUGCAGCCUCUCUGCCCCCAUCCGCCUCGUCCUUCUCUCUCACUCCUUUCCAGGCCCUGCGGCCACCACGUCCUCUGGGCUCUCCCUGCCUUCCUGUCCCAAGGCCUUUGCAGUGACUGUGCUCUCUUCCCAGAACAUUCUUCCCCCCUAGGCCAUUGUGGUUACACCCCCAUCCCCCCAGGUCCUUCCUCACGUGGCACCUUUCCUGGGGUCCUUCCCCUGGGUGCCCUAUUUUAGGUGGUAACUCCCACCUUGCCCCAUCAGUGCCCUCCCCCUUCCUGGCUCACGUGCCCAAGGGCCUUACCCCCUGGGGCAGGCAGUGCUCCCUGAGGGCACCGUCCUCACCCCGCCACGGAGUUCUCAAUGAAUGAAGCGCAUGGGCCCACACUUGCCCCUCCGCCGCUCCCCUUCCCCGACCCCUAGGCAGACCCCUAGCAACACUCCGCGUUCCUACAGCACCACCUGUUUUCGUCAGCACUUCUCAUCAAUCCACUCAUUUCAUCCUUGCAAACCCCCACCAGAGCGCUGCGGUUGUUUUCAGUUCUCGAUACAGAAACUGACGGCCAGAGAGGUGGAGUGACUUGCCCAAGGUCACACAGCAGGUGAGAGGCAUAAACAGAACUUGAACCCAGCCCACCUGGCUCUAGAGUCCAUACUCUGGACCAGAUACGAUUUUUUUUUUUUAACUGAAGUAUGCUGGGCCCACCCUGGCCAGAAUAUGGAAGAAGUGGACAACGAUAGUCGGCGCUAAGGAAGGGACCCAGAUCUCCGGGGGUCACGGGAAAGAGGUGUUUUACUCUAUGCUUUGUCAAGGUAUUGCCUACCAGAAACAUAUAUUUAAUUUUAAAAGAAAUAAAUUGGAGGCUGAGGCUA